GGGGCGUUAGCUCAGUUGGUUAGAGCAGAGGACUCAUAAUCCUUUGGUCGUUGGUUCAAGUCCAACACGCCCUACCA
rnacentral:tRNA from 67 species